rnacentral:rRNA from 1 species
AUUGAACGCUGGCGGCAUGCUUUACACAUGCAAGUCGAACGGUAACAGGCCGCAAGGUGCUGACGAGUGGCGAACGGGUGAGUAAUGCAUCGGAACGUGCCCAGUCGUGGGGAUAACUACUCGAAAGAGUAGCUAAUACCGCAUACGAUCUAUGGAUGAAAGCGGGGGACCGUAAGGCCUCGCGCGAUUGGAGCGGCCGAUGUCAGAUUAGGUAGUGGGUGGGGUAAAGGCUCACCAAGCCAACGAUCUGUAGCUGGUCUGAGAGGACGACCAGCCACACUGGGACUGAGACACGGCCCAGACUCCUACGGGAGGCAGCAGUGGGGAAUUUUGGACAAUGGGCGCAAGCCUGAUCCAGCAAUGCCGCGUGCAGGAAGAAGGCCUUCGGGUUGUAAACUGCUUUUGUACGGAACGAAACGGCUCUGGUUAAUACCCGGGGCUAAUGACGGUACCGUAAGAAUAAGCACCGGCUAACUACGUG